UACUCUUCGGGUACAAAUGGUUGA
rnacentral:siRNA from 1 species